rnacentral:sRNA from 1 species
AAAAAAUAAAUAUUGACGGCAGGACCAAAACGAAGUUGUAGUUGAAGGAGUUCAAGGAGGAGUUGCUGAAAACAAAAAUGAGGUUGCAGCUGAAUGAGCUCAUUUCCAUGAGAUUCACAUUGCUGAUAUAUGGGCAAAUGACAACUGGUUGUUUUACUAUGAUGGAGUUGAUAUGCUACAAUGGUGCUACUAGUGUCAGUAUACUUCAGCCUCGUGUGUUGGAAGGAAACACUAUUAAAGCUGCACAAAUAGUUAUAUAUGUGUUUGCAUGCUUAUAGUUUUAAACUUGUAUUAUUUCAUAUUAACUAAAAUCUUAAAUUAAUUGACGAGUGCACAAAAUGUUCAACUUGUUAGAAGUGUUAUGAGUUAGUUUUAGUAAUUUACUACUGAACCACUAGAAAGUUUUAAUAGUUUUUUACGGACAAAAUUUAUAAUAUGAUCGAUAUCACGGAAACUACUAUCGACCAUUCUACCGGAUAAGUGAUUAAGAAAGUAUUAUCUGAAAUUAUUUUA